rnacentral:rRNA from 1 species
AUUGAACGCUGGCGGCAGGCCUAACACAUGCAAGUCGAGCGGUAACAGAUUGAUAGCUUGCUAUUGAUGCUGACGAGCGGCGGACGGGUGAGUAAUGCCUGGGAAUAUACCUCAGUGUGGGGGAUAACUAUUGGAAACGAUAGCUAAUACCGCAUAAUCUCCGAUCUUUUACGAGAUGGGAGCAAAGCGGGGGACCUUCGGGCCUCGCGCGCUGAGAUUAGCCCAGGUGGGAUUAGCUAGUUGGUGGGGUAAUGGCUCACCAAGGCGACGAUCCCUAGCUGGUCUGAGAGGAUGAUCAGCCACACUGGAACUGAGACACGGUCCAGACUCCUACGGGAGGCAGCAGUGGGGAAUAUUGCACAAUGGGGGAAACCCUGAUGCAGCCAUGCCGCGUGUAUGAAGAAGGCCUUCGGGUUGUAAAGUACUUUCAGUUGUGAGGAAGGCAGUUAAGUUAAUAGCUUAGUUGUUUGACGUUAGCAACAGAAGAAGCACCGGCUAACUCCGUGCCAGCAGCCGCGGUAAUACGGAGGGUGCGAGCGUUAAUCGGAAUUACUGGGCGUAAAGCGCAUGCAGGCGGUCUGUUAAGCAAGAUGUGAAAGCCCGGGGCUCAACCUCGGAACAGCAUUUUGAACUGGCAGACUAGAGUCUUGUAGAGGGGGGUAGAAUUUCAGGUGUAGCGGUGAAAUGCGUAGAGAUCUGAAGGAAUACCGGUGGCGAAGGCGGCCCCCUGGACAAAGACUGACGCUCAGAUGCGAAAGCGUGGGGAGCAAACAGG